rnacentral:rRNA from 1 species
GACGAACGCUGGCGGCGUGCCUAAUACAUGCAAGUAGAACGCACAGUUUAUACCGUAGCUUGCUACACCAUAGACUGUGAGUUGCGAACGGGUGAGUAACGCGUAGGUAACCUGCCUGGUAGCGGGGGAUAACUAUUGGAAACGAUAGCUAAUACCGCAUAAUAUUAAUUAUUGCAUGAUAAUUAAUUGAAAGGUGCAAUUGCACCACUACCAGAUGGACCUGCGUUGUAUUAGCUAGUAGGUGAGGUAACGGCUCACCUAGGCGACGAUACAUAGCCGACCUGGGAGGGUGAUCGGCCACACUGGGACUGAGACACGGCCCAGACUCCUACGGGAGGCAGCAGUAGGGAAACUUCGGCAAUGGACGAAAGUCUGACCGAGCAACGCCGCGGGAGUGAAGAAGGUUUUCGGAUCGUAAAGCUCUGUUGUAAGAGAAGAACGGGUGUGAGAGUGGAAAGUUCACACUGUGACGGUAUCUUACCAGAAAGGGACGGCUAACUACGUG